GUCUAUGGCCAUACCACCCUGAACACGUCUGAUCUAGUCUGAUCUCGGAAGCUAAGUACUUGGAUGGGAGAAAGAGUAAGUAAGAGAGGGGAGUCAUCUGAUUAAAAUACCUAUCUACAUGUG
rnacentral:rRNA from 1 species